UAUGCGGACCACAUGGAAGAACGAGAAAAGAAAGGGCAUAUGUGCUUUACUGUGCAGAAAAGAUAACAUUAUUUCUGGUAAAGAUUCUUUACAAUUUUUUUUA